rnacentral:misc_RNA from 1 species
UCCGGUUUGUCACCGGCAGUCUCAUUAGAGUGCCCAACUGAAUGUAGCAACUAAUGACAAGGGUUGCGCUCGUUGCGGGACUUAACCCAACAUCUCACGACACGAGCUGACGACAGCCAUGCAGCACCUGUGCGCCGGUUCUCUUUCGAGCACUCCCACCUCUCAGUAGGAUUCCGACCAUGUCAAGGGUAGGUAAGGUUUUUCGCGUAGCAUCGAAUUAAUCCACAUCAUCCACCGCUUGUGCGGGUCCCCGUCAAUUCCUUUGAGUUUUAAUCUUGCGACCGUACUCCCCAGGCGGUCUACUUCUCGCGUUAGCUGCGUUACCAAGUCAGUUAAGACCCAACAACUAGUAGACAUCGUUUAGGGCGUGGACUAC